GUCAGCCAUCAUCAUGAAGAUGUCAAGAGAUCACCAGUAACAAAGCUCAUAAUGAUCUGAUUAUGAUUUAGGCCUAUAACUAAAAAGUGUUUGUCCGCCAUUGUCAUGAAGAUGUCAAGAGAUCCCCAGUAACAAAGCUCAUAAUGAUCUGAACAUGAUGUAGGCCUUUAACUAAAAAGUGUUUGUCUGCCAUCAUCAUGAAGAUGUCAAGAGAUCACCAGUAACAAAGCUCAUAAUGAUCUGAGUAUGAUGUAGGCCUAUAACU